AUUUAUAUGUGAAUUUUUGUGUUAAUAGCAUCUCUAAAAGGCAUGCUUAUAUGAUUUUGCAGUAGGUGAUUUUAUUGAUAUUAAGUUAAUUUAGAUUUAGUAAAUGUUUGAAGGUUUGGUUAAAGUUGUGCCAGCCUCCGCGGUUAUACAACGAAAUCAAAUGAAUACUAUUGGUUUUGAAACAAUUAUCAUUAAAUAUUAUUAUAUUAAUUGAGAUAUUUUUUGGUGAAAUAUUGAAUUUUUUAUUAUAUAUACAUUAUUAGUGAGAUUGUUGUGAAAUUAAAAUUUUAAACUAGGAUUAGAUACCCUAUUAUUUUUAUUGUAAAAUUUCAAGCCAGAGUAUUAGUAGUUAUGAUCUUGAAACUUAAAGAAUUUGGCGGUAUUAUAGUCUAUUUAGAGGAAUCUGUUAUGUAAUCGAUAAUCCGCGUUGAACCUUACUUAUAUUAAUUCUUGUAUACCACUGUUUAUGAAUAUAUUAAUAGAUAAUUUUCUGGAUAUAAUAUUAAAUAGUAUUUCAAGUCAAGGUGCAGUAAUAUAUAAGAUGAAUAAUGGAUUACAAUAAAUUAUAUUUAUAUGGAUAUCUAUUGAAAUAUAGUUUGAAGGUGGAUUUAAUUGUAAUUUUUUGAAGAUUGUUAAAAUGAUUUAUAGCUCUAUAAUAUGCACACAUCGCCCGUCACUCUCGUUAUUAAGAUGAGAUAAGUCGUAACAAAGUAGGUGUAUCGGAAGAUGUACCUAGAAGGAUAAUAAAAUAAU
rnacentral:rRNA from 1 species